rnacentral:rRNA from 1 species
GAUGAACGCUGGCGGCGUGCCUAAUACAUGCAAGUCGAGCGAACUGAUUAGAAGCUUGCUUCUAUGACGUUAGCGGCGGACGGGUGAGUAACACGUGGGCAACCUGCCUGUAAGACUGGGAUAACUUAGGGAAACCGAAGCUAAUACCGGAUAGGAUCUUCUCCUUCAUGGGAGAUGAUUGAAAGAUGGUGUCGGCUAUCACUUAAAGAUGGGCCCGCGGUGCAUUAGCUAGGUGGUGAGGUAACGGCUCACCAAGGCAACGAGGCAUAGCCGACCUGAGAGGGUGAUCGGCCACACUGGGACUGAGACACGGCCCAGACUUAUACGGGAGGCAGCAGUAGGGAAUCUUCCGCAAUGGACGAAAGUCUGACGGAGCAACGCCGCGUGAGUGAUGAAGGCUUUCGGGUCGUAAAACUCUGUUGUCAGGGAAGAACAAGUACAAGAGUAACUGCUUGUACCUUGACGGUACCUAACCAGAAAGCCACGGCUAACUACGCGCCAGCCGCCGCCGUAACAC